ensembl:lncRNA
AUGUUCAUCAGUGAUAUUGGCCUGUAGUUUUCUUUUUUUGUGGAGUCUUUGUCUGGUUUUGGUAUCAGGGUGACGGUGGCCUCAUAGAAUGAGUUUGGGAGUAUCCCUUCCUCUGCAAUUUUUUGAAAUAGUUUCAGAAGGAGAGGUAUUGGCUCUUCUCUAAAUGUUUGUUAGAAUUUGCCUGUGAAGCCAUCUGUUUCUGGACUUUUGUUUGUAGGAAGUUUUUUAAUCAUAGUUUCAAUUUCAGUUCUUGUGAUGGGUCCAUUCAUCUUUUCUAUUUCAUCUUGGUUUAGUCUUGGAAGAUUGUACUUUUCUAAGAAUUUGUCCAUUUCUUCUAGGUUUUCCAUUUUAUUGGCAUAUAGUUGCAUAUAGUAGUCUCUUAUGGCCCUUUGUAUUUCUGUGAUGUCCAUUGUUACUUCCCUUUUUUCAUUUCUAAUUUUAUUGAUUUGAGUCCUCUCUCUUUAUUGCUUGAUAAGUCUGGCUAGGGCUUUAUCAAUUUUUUUGAUCUUUCCAAAGAACCAGCUUUUGGUUUCAUUGAUCUUUUCUAUAGUUUUCUUUGUUUCUAUUUCAUUGAUUUCUGCUCUGAUCUUUAUGAUUUCUUUCCUUAUACUACCUUUAGAUCUUGUCUGUUCUUCUCUCUCCAGCUGCUUUAGAUGUAAAGUUAGCUUGUUUAUUUGAGCUUUUUCUUGUUUCCUGAAGUGGGCUUGUAUUGCUAUAAACUUUCCUCUUGGAACUGCUUUUGAUGCAUCCCAUAUGUUUUGGAGUGUCGUAUCUUCAUUGUCAUUUGCUGCUAGGUAUUUUUUAAUUUCCUCUUUGAUUUCUUCAGGGAUCCAUUGGUUGUUUAGCAGCAUGUUGUUGAGUCUCCACGUGUUUGUGUUUUUUGCAGUUUUUUUCUUGUUGAUUUCCAGUCGUAUAGUGUUGUGGUCAGAAAAGAUUCCUGAUGUGAUUUCAAUUUUCUUAAAGUUACUGAGGUUGGAUUUGUAGCCCAGGAUAUGGUCAAUCUUAGAGAAUGUUCUAUGUGCACUUGAAAAGAAUGUGUACUCUGUUGCUUUUGGAUGAAAUGUCCUAUAAAUAUCUUUUAAAUCCAUCUGGUUUAAUGCUUCAUUCAGGGCCUGUGUUUCCUUAUUGAUUUUCUGUCUGGUUGAUCUGUCCAUUGCUGUAAGUUGGGUGUUAAAAUCCCCCACUAUUAUUGUGUUAUUGUCAAUUUCUCCUUUUAAGGUUGUUAGCAGUUGCCUUAUAUAUUGUGGUGAAUCUGUGUUGGGUACGUAGAUAUUUAAAAUUGUUAUAACAUCUUCUUGGGUUGAACCUUUGAUCAUUAUGUAAUGUCCCUCUUUGUCCCUGAAAAUAUUCUUCAUUUUAAAGUCUAUUUUGUCUGAUGUGAGUAUUGCUACUCCAGCUUUCUUUUGAUCCCCGUUUGCAUGAAAUAUUGUCUUCCAUCCUCUCACUUUCAAUUUGUAUGUGUCCCUAGAAGUGAAGUGGAUCUCUUGAAGACAGCAUAUAUAUGGGUCUUGUUUUUGUAUCCAUUCAGCCAGUCUCUGUCUUUUGGUUGGGAUGUUUAGUCCAUUCACAUUUAAGGUAAUUAUUGAUGUGUAUGUUCUUAUUGCCAUUUUAUUAAUUGCUUUGGAUUUGUU